GGCCAGUCGGGCAGGGGUGGGUUCGGUGUGGCUCUGGGACAGGCUGAGCGUCCGGUCGGUCGUCGGAUCGACUGUUUAAAUCUCCUGCAGUUGCUCCUGGCAAUGCCCAAGCCAUGCCAGCCUCACGGGUGAGAGCUGCCAGCUCCUGGUGGGUCUCUCUGCUUGUCCUUGGGUUUCCCUGGCUCCGGGAACCCCCUGUCCGCCUCAGUCUAGCACUCAGCCACAGAACUUACCACUGCUGCCACUGCAUUCCUCGCCAACUGUACUGUUUCCUAUUCACAUCAUCUAGUUUCUUCUAAGAGUUCUAGGUCUUCCAGUGAGACUGAAGGGAGGAUGACCUUCCUUAUUUCCCCAUAUCAACCUUCAUGUCUCUUUGAAGACUAGUGCAACAGGUGCCCUUCUCAUGACAUCAUGAACCUUCCCCAGUCUCCAUGACUGAACACUUUUGAAUCAAAAUAGUGUGGCCUUCACAAUGACAGCAAACAGCUCUCUCAGCACUCUUGGAUGCAGCCUGUCUGGAGCUGAGGACUUCUGUGGCUCAAGGUUUCUCAAGCAAGUGCUGGAAACAGAACAAAAAUUAGGAGGGAACAUAGCUGGGACAGCUGACUGGAAAUUGGAUAAAGGGAUAUUCCACACUAUAUAAUGUAAUGCUCAUCAAUAAAAACUGGUUGCAGAGUGAAAAACAGUGUUGUCCUCAAACAUGUCUCUUGUUUGGAGAAUGGCUAGACAUCAGUCUGCUUGUGAGAGGUGGUAAACAACUGCCUUUGCAUCACCUGUUUCCUCUUUCCUUCACUUAUUAAACUGUCUUUAUGUUGACCCAUGAGUUUUUAGCUUUUGCUCUUCUUCUCUCUCCAUCCUGCUUGGGAGGGGGAGAGUCAGAGCCACUGUGUGUGCUUAGCUGUUGGCAGGGGUCAACUCAUCACAUCAUUCUACAAAAAUAUCAGAAUCAUUCUUGAUAACGUAAGCCUUUGAAAGCUAUGAAAAUUCCAUGUGUUUAUUUUUAUUUUGGUUUUUGUUUGUUGCAGAUUUAGCCACUGAACUAUGUAGCUGAUUUGAAUUUUCUAUUCUGUAUCAAUCUUCCUAUGUUAUAAUUUCUGCAAUUGAUAGCAAAAGUUAAAAAAAAAACCCCACCCCAAAACAGCUCAUUAGUGUCUUAACUGUAAUAGAAGUACAAAAUAGUAUUUUUUCAGAGAAUUCUAUAAGUAGGAAAGACACUAGAGGUUGAAUUUACUUGACCAGAUUUACAUGUGACAGCACACCUGAAUUUUCUGUAUUUUAAAGAUUUUUUUCUCUUUUAUUUGAAUUCAGAUGAAACCCAGCUGUAAAUGUUGAAAAUCUUUAUGUUCUUUUCUUCUCUUUUUAAGGAAUGUGUCCUGACCAAAGUUCUGGUGCCAUCCAUUAAGAGUUAAACCUCACAAAGUUUUCUGACUACUGUGAUGAUAAGAUUAUUCAACUCACAAAGGAGCUACUCUGCUGGCAGACAAGCUCUGUGUAGGGAAACCUAAAGUAAAUCUCUCAUAAAUUAAUCUCAGGACAGUACGAAUUUGAGAGGUUAUGGAGGAGUUCAGAUAUAGUGUUUGAUAGUGUUAGGCCAGAAGACCAAAUAAGAGUGAGUCUGAGUCUCCAGAGCUGUAGACAGAGUACUUAAUUUGGAGAAGUCAGAGCUACGGUUCCUCUGAGCCAUCCAUUCAUUUUCCAUUAGACACUAAUGCAGGUAUGAUUCCGUGGGCAGUUUCUAGCACUCAUGAAUGUGAAUUUCCCUCGUACAGCCAGGCACCACCAUUAAUUCGGGUUUUGGCUUAGCUUUCCAACCCUGUUUUUAUUUUCCUCUUUUGCUAUAAAAAUGGCUUUUGUUAUUGGGAAUUUUAUUGAUCUGAAUGUUAUUAGAGGUUGACCUGACUUUUUGUUUAAAAAGUUGAGACUUAUAAAUUAUAGGCCUGUUUCUUCCAUCCAGUUUGCACAUCAGGUUUUUUUAUUCUGAAAUAUAGCAAAAUUUGUUGAGUAAUUGAACAACAAAAUAUGAGAAAUCAGCUCUCAUAAGAGUAAUUGGAGAUGAUGAAAAAAGCAGUGUCAAGGUUUGGGAAAUUUGAAAACUUGAGUAUUGUGCUGUCAGUAUUAGCAAACUGACUGAUAUUGAGACUUUUAUUAUUAUUGUUAUUCUGUAUAUCUACAUCUCAUAAUUUGUUGUAGAUUUUUCAUUUCUUUAGCAUUUCUUACAUGAACUGUAACAUUUUCUAGAAAAUGAUUUUUCUGUGAAAAUAAUGCAUUUCUUCCAUAAUUAGACGUGUCAAGUAUAAACAUAGAACUGAAGAAAAGAAAAAAAAAGGAAAAUAAAACAAGAACGUACGUCUUCUGUGUCAGAAACAAGACUUGACAGUGUAAAACCUAAACUGAGAAGAGCACAGAGUAUAGACACAUUGGCUCCUGUGCAUAGUCUGACUUCAUGUAUUCAGCCCAUGCAUAGAAAUGAAGCAACACAGCUGGGAGCCACUGCCUGGAAAUAGCCUGUUAUCAGAAACCUGGCAUAAGUGAUGGAAUUUCACAAGCAAGGAAUAUGUGUUGUUCAUUUUAAUGACAACAACUUGUGCAGUAAGAGCAUCUGGUUCCUGAGAAUAUGGCUUUGCUUAUGUCUCAGUAUGUAUGCUUUGUCUUGUUGCUUACCCAGGUGAUUUAGUACAACAUUAACAUGGGCUAAAUUUCAUUGGACUGGAAAAGGAUCAUUAAAGUAUUUCAGAAGUAAAAAAAAGGAUCUCUUGCAGAUUUCACUCUGCGCUGAAAAUACCAUUAUGCUACACUAUAUUUCAGACACUUGCAGUCAGUCCUCUGUUGCAAUUAAAAUUGGACAAGCUGACAAUAGCCUUUCAGAUUUUAAAAAGAUACAUAUGUUUUUUUCUGUUGAAAUUAUAUUUCUAAAAACUCUAGAAUACUCAUUUAUCAUACAGUGCUAUACUCAGCUCUUUUAGCUCAUAAGCAAGCACAGACCUAUUGUUCAGCUUGAUUCUCAUCAAAGAGAUUAUUGUCUGCUUGGCAAAGAAAGAACUGAAGGAGACAUGUAAAGAAGAUUUCUGGGGACUAUGGCAUAUCCAUAAACCAUAUUAACCGAAGACUGACACUCCCUAUGUUCCAUCUUGCAUCCAACUUGAACAAAAUGACCUAAAAAAAAGAGAAUACUGUAAUUCAUGGAAAAAACACACCAACAUGUUAUAAAACUGCACAGAAUUUUCCUGACUGAAGCAGGACCAUGAAGCAGAAUGGCAAUACUUGGGAAUGCAAGAAUCUAUUCCGUGGGUAAUGAAACCUGGAGGGAAAGGGAAAAGAGGAACAACACCUGGAAAUACUAAAAUGACACCGAGGUAUCAAGUGUUGGUUUAGUAACAUGUUGCUCUCUGCCACAUGGGUAAUUGAUUACAAUGUAAAAGGGGUUUCAUUUUUUCAGUUUUUUCCUGCUUUUGGUUAUUUUUAAGAUCUCAAGAUAAACUGACAUUACCUACAGUUUCAUCGUGGUCAAUGAUUUCAAAACUGAAGCUGGCAUGGUAAACUUUAGUUAAAUCAACUAUUUGUGAAUAAAAGUCUCAGAGGACAUCCUGUAUCUUUGGUUGUGUAUAAGAGAGAUUUGCAGGAUAAAAUGUUUUAUAAUAUUAAGAAGCAAGCUGAAUUGAAAUCAAACAGAUAUUUGUGUUCUGGUUUUGGCUGAGUUAAUUUAUAUAUAUAUAUAUAUGUAUGAAAAUUAUAUGUAUAUUAUUGUUAUUAUCUUUUUUUUUAUCCUAUUAGUCCGUCUUUAACUCAACCCUCAAU